CGCACGUAUGUACCCCCGCCCCCCCGGCGACGCGCCGCGCGGCGCGCCUACCGUAACUACCGCCGCGCGCCGCGCGCGCCACAUCGUUACCAUAAACCCAGAAUAUUUUGCUGAGGUGAUGAUACCAUUGCUCUGAGCAAGGUGAGAGAGUCAGAGGUUACAAACCUGGAAAGGCACUUCAAAUCUUAAUAGAAUAAUUAUUUCAAGGUGCUUUCCUAAAGUUUACAAGCAGUACUACUUUAGUCCACACACACUGUUUUUAAUUGUUUUGCAACUACGAAGCUUAAACACUUAAACAUUAACGCCUUAAGUUCAAAUACCACCUGGCUUCAAGAGUGGGAAUCUGGUUGCAGUACAAGUGCUUGGCUGAGUCCUCACCUCUUGUAGAAAACAUACAGAUCACAGUUCUCACCGGUACUUUAUUUCCCUAGGUUGCAGUGUUCUUGAGGGCCCUCAUUCAAGUUCAAAGUUCAAAACUUUAUGGAUCCUCACUAGCCCAGGUUAUGGAUUCAUAGCUCCUGCCUUAUGCACCUAUCUGCAUACAUAUACCUCUAUCUUUAAAAUGUACACCAACGUAGACUUAGAGUGCAGUCCUACUCUGAAAAACUAAAAAUGCAUUUUUCUCUCUCAUGACAUCUGCUCCCUGCAUAUAUGCAGUCGACUUUAGUAACAAGUUCUUAUCACUUUGUACUCCUGUUGCCAUGGAGAAUGAAAACAGCUAGAAGCUUUUAAUGCACAUAAAGAGAUUGUUUACUUACCUCAAGACGUUCAAACCCCAAUGUCUAAACUAAGAAUCCUAACUAUAGCAAUACGCAUCCAAGUAGAAACGGUAUAAUUUUAUGAAGGACAAUCAAUGCUGAGAGGGAAGAAAGAGGGUAGCUACAGGUGUUAAUGGGAAAUUUAGCUCAAGUUGAGAUCACAGUAAUAAAUUCAGGUCCUGUUAAUAGAAGCAGAACAACAUUCAGUAAAUUUUUACAGGGAUAGCAGGGGGCACAUUUUGACCUACAAAAUCCUUAUCACCAACAAUUGUGGUUGAAGAGGUGAGAGUCCUGGUUAAUUUUCAAGUCCAAGAUGAUUUAGUGACAUUGGACUUUUUUUUUGUCCCACCCUCAUUAAAAAAGGGCAGGGCCCACCUUCAUUAAAAAAGGGCAAUCAUACUAAUUUUUUCUGUUGUGCACAAUUGUCAGAUGGUCACCACUCUCAAAGCAAGAACAUAUCCCCUGAACUGAUAUGUCCUCACUAGGCACGUCUAUGCAUGAUGCUACAUCACCAUAGCAAUUCACUACGGUGAUGUAGGCCUGCGGGCAAAAACUGUGAUGCAGCUAUGUCGCUGUAGUGAUGUGCUCCCCCAUUAUAGUGCGUCACUACAAUGACAUUGUGCCUAAAAAUAACUGUGUAGCAUGCGGGGCAUGGUACAGGCUGUUACUGUGCCAUCAUUUAGUACUUCCCAAAGGAAGUACUAAAUGAUGGCGCAGUAACAAUGGCACUAUAGUGUCACAUGUAGAUGCACUCCCUGAAUCGUAUUUAUGUCAGAAGUUUAGCUAGUUUUCUAGUUUUGCUAUAGAUCUGCUUUAACAAGAAAAAGUUAUUUGAUUAAUGUGUUUCCCAUUCUUCUCCCCCUUUUUAACUCAGGUGGCUGAAGGGAUUUUCUGCUCAGGAUUUCAGCAUAACCUUCUGACAGGCCAUGUAGAAAAGUUUUCUCCAUCCUCAAGUCAACAGAAGAAUACAAACCUCUGAAAAUAGAAAGCUUAGUGCAAAUGGUGUCAUCCUUAACAUGUGAGGUAACUGCUUACAUAGCAGCAACUGCUGUAAAAAAAAAACACCCUAGCAAUAAAAAGUUAAUAAUUGGA